rnacentral:lncRNA from 1 species
UCUUAAAAUUACACACAUCUUAAUAAGGAUGAGGAAUUUGUAGCAAAGAAAUAAAAUUUAUCGAUUCAGAACAUAAACCCCAAACACGGCGGAAUCUAUUUGAAUUUGACUUAUCCCAUCCAUCGAUUUAACAACAUGUAUUUAUCCUAACGAACUUUCGAAAAUUAACUUCCAUAUCUAAAUAUAACAUUCACUUUUAGUAGGAUAGAUCGCGUUCCUCACAUCAUGGAAUUGCCAAAUAC